rnacentral:rRNA from 1 species
UACGUAGGGCGCAAGCGUUGUCCGGAAUUAUUGGGCGUAAAGAGCGUGUAGGCGGCUUGUUAAGUCUUGCGUGAAAUCUCGGGGCUCAACCCCGAGCGGUCGUGAGAAACUGGCAGGCUAGAGUGCGGGAGAGGAGAGUGGAAUUCCUGGUGUAGCGGUGAAAUGCGCAGAUAUCAGGAAGAACACCCGUGGCGAAGGCGGCUCUCUGGAACGCAACUGACGCUGAGACGCGAAAGCGUGGGGAGCAAACAGG